GGGUGCAGCCGGCGUAGGAGGCGUUGCGGCAGCUGCGCUCGAGGUCUCGCACGGCCGGCGUGGGCGUGGCGUUGCGGAAACCCCCCAACGCCUCAUCCGCUGCUGCUGUUGCUGCUGGUGCACCAUUGGCGCCGUCGUGGAGGUGGAGGUCGAAGGCGGCGGGGCAGCGCAGGGAGGUGAUCUGGUGGAGGCGGAUCCCACAGAAGCAGAUCACGGCGUCGCACGUCGCGUUCGGCCGGGCCAGCCGGAUCUGCCGCCGCUCCAGCGCCCGCUCCAGCGCGUCCACGCACCGCUGGUUGUCGUCCGGCAUCAUCGGCCCCGCG
rnacentral:lncRNA from 1 species